GUCUUCGUAGCUUACAAAAAGCAUAACACUGAAGAUGUUAAGACGGCCGCUACACGCGCCCGAAGACA
rnacentral:tRNA from 1 species